CUAAAAUGGGCUCAACAGCAACGUUUCCGAAAAAAGGCUCAAGACCUCUUGAGCCCUUUUCAAAUGUUUGUCCAGAAUUAUUCAGAGCCUGCACUUCAGAUCUUGAGAACACACUGCAGUGCUAUCACCUAUCUGUUUAUGACAAUCAUGAUAUAACAUAUCCCUAUAUGUUUUGAACUCAAGAAUUGUCGACGGUCUUUUAAGGUACUUGCUGUCGGUAGAAUCUGAUAAGUAUUCCACCUAUGAUGUUCUAUGAGAUAUUAACUGAAAGCUUUUUUUUCUAACUUGUCAUUGUUGCAUUCGAAUAUCGUGUGUUGUGUCCGGAGACAUAUGAGAAGGAAAUAGACUGCAAGCAUAUCUUAAGCUUUCAAAAUGUAUUGAACAAUAUACUAGCAUCCACGUGAAUGGAUCUAAAACUUAGAGUUUAAUAUCCUUGAUUGGAUAAUUUGUGAACCUUUGUUAAACGCACAAUUGUCCGAACCCCCUUUGUUCAGUGAAUCGCACAUCAACCAACAAAGCAAAAAUAGCCAUUCAUAGGUACCACAUAAUCGCCCGAACUGAGACAUCUUUGUUUUAGCUAUAUUCUACUAAUAUAUACCACCACCACCACAGAAUAAAUAAACCCAUAUAUAGGUGAACAACACAAAAAGAACAUACAAGCUAAAUGAAUAUAUAAAAGAGGUGAAAAAUCAAUGAUAAUAAAAUGAAAUGUUAACAAAUUUUUGAAGGUUUUUCUUAUUUUUAUUUUUUAUUGACGAAUAACGAAGUGAAAAAAACAAGUAGUGGAUAAAUAUUAAAGAGAAGUAAGAAUAAAUCGUAGCUGCAGGUAUGACUUCUAUCACAAAUGGUUGAAAAUGAAGAAUUCUUUUACGGAAGUCAAACGCAAGAACAAAAAUACACUGCUUCUGUCCAGGAAGAAACUUUCAUGGAGAUACUUCUCUUUGAAACCAAACAGAGAAUAAGCCAAGAAAUAAGUAGAGCAUCUACAGAAUAGAAAUGGUUAAUGUUGAAACUCAAUUCAACUAUCGAAACCUUUCAUCGUUUUUACGAGUGUGUCAAUUGUUGAACUUUUCCUCCGUUUCAAACGCGAACAAAUGGUACAUAUCUUAACCUCGUUUAAUUUAUUCGUCGUUCCUUCCCUACUAAUAUUAUUAGAUGUUUGUGGCCUAGCCAAUUUAAAUCAACGCUCUCAAACAAGCCUAUUGGAAGCAAUCGUUGAGUUCUCCAAGUUCGUUGACUUCGUUUCUAUAUGCGAAGCAAGCAAGCAUACCUAGUCAAUACGAAUAAUUACAAACAACAACAAAAACAUGAGACGAAAUGAAAUCGAUGGUAUUCGCGACAUUCAGACGAAAAAAAAAUCAAACACUGCUUCAUUGUAGCGAAAGUAACAAAUGUAUAUAUUAUUAUCAAUACAAAUGAAUGAUAAAUGAGCAAAUAACACAAUGUUCAAAAUAAUGAGCGUGUGUGUGAACAAAACAUUUCAAAUGAGAAAGCCAAUUUCUCCCGUCCAUUCCACGAAAUUGUUUAAACAAAGCCGAGCAGGAUAAAGGAAAACCAUGAGAGCUAUAAAACAACAUUGAGAGAAAUAGACAAAAAAUCAGAAUACUUCUUUAAGCUACCAGUCCAAGCAUAAAUUUUCAACACUCAAACUUCAAACUGUUUUCCAAAACAUUCACUACAAAAAAAUGAAGUCAAGAUUCCGAGUUCCACAAUGAAUUUCGAUCAUUGUAUCUGACAGUUAAAUUACUCUUAAAUCUUUUUUCCCCUUCCUUUCUCAAUCUUUGAAACCGAAUGUAUCUAAAACAAUCUUUCUUACUACCUUGCACUUACACAAAACUACAGAUUAAUCAUACUAUACACCAAAUAAAAAAAACACGACAGCAACCUGAUCAAAGUUUAUUCAAAGCAGAUAUACAACCUAUUAAGGCAAACCAAAACUACAAAUCCGAAAAGUUGAAGCACAAAAUACAUAAAAACACGAAAUAUUUUUUUUUUUUUUUGUCUAAAGUUUGAAAUUGAAAAAUAGUCAGAGGCAAAAUACAAACAAAACAACAAUGAAACAUUGAACAUUACAAUCGGACAGAGCGAACUGAACACAUUGAGACAAACUUACACAUGGGACACAAGCAUGGAGGCAAAGGACGAAGUUUGAAGUGCAGCAAAAUGCGCAAAGCGGAGCGGAGCUCUUCAUCAGGAAGCGUGGCAGAUUUUCGGGAGAGAAUCCGGUACGAGGCGAUGCAUCACUGCAUACUAAUGGUAAAAAUAUCUAGACCCACCAAGCACUAAUUGGUAAAUUGAGCUCAUGGUAUGGAUGAGUUCAGCGUGGAUCCUCUGAGCCACUGCGGUUUUAACUCAGAGACGGGUUGAAAGGUCACCGUAACUGCAAAGACUUCUUGUCCACAGUGACGGCAACAAAUGAACGUUGUGCUUUCGCCACUGUGUCGUUGCAUGCA
rnacentral:lncRNA from 1 species